rnacentral:sRNA from 2 species
CCGGGCGGAACGCCGAAUCCUGUCGAUGCCCGGGCGUCAGGGGACACACAUGAGCUCGGCAGGAGCGGGGGACCCAAGGUAAGUGCCGGUCCAGGAGCAGGCCCUGACAGGGUGUCUGCGAGCGGGGCGGCUUGGGGUGAAGUCGUGCAUCGCAAGGUGUGCGACCGGACCACUUCGCCAGUCCGAACCCGACAGCUCACCUCGUAGGCGUACUACGCGAAGGUGA